AUUGAACGCUGGCGGCAGGCCUAACACAUGCAAGUCGAGCGAGUGGCGGACGGGUGAGUAAUGUAUGGGGAACUGCCCGAUAGAGGGGGAUAACUACUGGAAACGGUGGCUAAUACCGCAUACCAUCGGAUGAACCCAUAUGGGAUUAGCUAGUAGGUGGGGUAACGGCUCACCUAGGCGACGAUCCCUAGCUGGUCUGAGAGGAUGACCAGCCACACUGGGACUGAGACACGGCCCAGACGCCUACGGGAGGCAGCAGUGGGGAAUAUUGAACAAUGGGCGCAAGCCUGAUGCAGCCAUGCCGCGUGUAUGAAGAAGGCCUUAGGGUUGUAAAGUACUUUCAGCGGGGAGGCGUUACCCGCAGAAGAAGCACCGGCUAACUCCGUGCCAGCCGCCGCGGUAAUAC
rnacentral:rRNA from 1 species